rnacentral:rRNA from 1 species
UUCUUCUGUAGGUACGUCAUUUUCUUCCCUACUGAAAGCGGUUUACAACCCUAAGGCCUUCUUCCCGCACGCGGCGUUGCUGCAUCAGGCUUGCGCCCAUUGUGCAAGAUUCCCCACUGCUGCCUCCCGUAGGAGUCUGGGCCGUGUCUCAGUCCCAGUGUGGCUGAUCAUCCUCUCAGACCAGCUACCCGUCGAUGCCUUGGUGAGCCAUUACCCCCCCAACAAGCUGAUAGGCCGUGAGACCCUCCCGGACCGGCGGACCUUUCAUCAAAUCCCCAUGCGGGAAAAAGACGACAUUCGGUAUUAGCAGCCGUUUCCAACUGUUAUCCCAAAGUCCAGGGCAGGUUUCUCACGUGUUACGCACCCGUUCGCCACUAAAUCUUCCGGAGCAAGCUCCAUGGACUUCGUUCGACUUGCAUGUGUUAAGCACGCCGCCAGCGUUCAUCCUGAGCCAUGAUCAAACUCU